GAUGAAGAACUCAGCGAAAUGCGAUAAGUAAUGUGAAUUGCAGAAUUCAGUGAAUCAUCGAAUCUUUGAACGCACAUUGCGCCCCCUGGUAUUCCGGGGGGCAUGCCUGUCCGAGCGUCAUUACAACCCUCAAGCUCAGCUUGGUGUUGGGCCCCGCCGCCCCGGCGGGCCCUAAAGUCAGUGGCGGUGCCGUCCGGCUCCGAGCGUAGUAAUUCUUCUCGCUCUGGAGGUCCGGUCGUGUGCUCGCCAGGAACCCCCAAUUUUUUUCGGGUUGACCUCGGAUCAGGUAGGGAUACCCGCUGAACUUAAGCAUAUCAAUAAGCGGAGGA
rnacentral:misc_RNA from 1 species